rnacentral:rRNA from 1 species
GACAGAGGGGGCAAGCGUUGCUCGGAAUCACUGGGCGUAAAGGGCGCGUAGGCGGGAUGGCAAGUCAGUCGUGAAAUCUCUCGGCUCAACCGAGAAACGUCGGCUGAUACUGCCGUUCUUGAGGGAUGCAGAGGAGACUGGAAUUCCCGGUGUAGCGGUGAAAUGUGUAGAGAUCGGGAGGAACACCGGUGGCGAAGGCGGGUCUCUGGGCAUCUCCUGACGCUGAGGUGCGAAAGCGUGGGGAGCAAACAGG